ncrna:Nicotiana tabacum cultivar TN90 Ntab-TN90_scaffold522, whole genome shotgun sequence
UGGACAAAUUAUUGUAUUCGACUGUAUUCACGGCGUGAAACAGGGGAUUACAUUGUCUUUAAAUGGAAAGUGAAUCAAUUAACAUAAUAGACUCCU